GGCAACUUGGCCGAGUGGUCUAAGGCGAUGCACUCAAGGAAACCCUUACCCCUAAAAAGGGCAGUAUUGCAUUCUCGCAAGAGGCGUGAGUUCGAAUCUCACAGUUGUCA